rnacentral:rRNA from 1 species
GAUAGCUGCAGUUGAGCGUCCCAGCAAUGGGGAGCAGCGUAAGGGGCAGUAAGGCAUGGGUAUCUACCCGGGGAUCGGGCAUAGCCUGUAGAGAUACAGGGUAAUUCCCGAUGAUGUCGCAAGACCAAAGCUCCGGCGUCCCUGGAGGAGCCCAUGUGAUAUUAGCUAGUUGGUGGGGUAACGGCCUACCAAGGCGAAGAUGUCUAGCGGGUGUGAGAGCACGACCCGCGCCACUGGCACUGAGACACUGGCCAGACACCUACGGGUGGCUGCAGUCGAGGAUCUUCGGCAAUGGGCGCAAGCCUGACCGAGCGAGGCCGCGUGGGCGAUGAAGGCCUUCGGGUUGUAAAGCCCUGUCGAGGGGGAGAAAAGCCGCAAGGCGUGAUCUAUCCCUGGAGGAAGCACGGGCUAAGUUCGUGCCAGCAGCCGCGGUAAGACGAACCGUGCGAACGUUGUUCGGAAUCACUGGGCUUAAAGGGCGCGUAGGCGGGCUAUCAAGUCCGGGGUGAAAUCCUCCAGCUCAACUGGAGAACUGCCUCGGAUACUGAUGGUCUCGAGGAGGAUAGGGGCACACGGAACUGUGGGUGGAGCGGUGAAAUGCGUUGAUAUCCAUAGGAACUCCGGUGGCGAAAGCGGUGUGCUGGAUCCUUUCUGACGCUGAGGCGCGAAAGCCAGGGGAGCAAACGGGAUUAGAUACCCCGGUAGUCCUGGCCCUAAACGUUGGGUACUAGGUAGUAGACUAGACAUGGGUUUACUUCCGAAGCAAAAGUGCUAAGUACCCCGCCUGGGGAGUAUGGUCGCAAGGCUGAAACUCAAAGGAAUUGACGGGGGCUC